rnacentral:rRNA from 1 species
AGUCGAGGGGCAGCGCAGUGUAGCAAUACAUGGGCGGCGACCGGCAAACGGGUGCGGAACACGUACGCAACCUUCCCAGAACUGGUGAAUAGCCUUUCGAAAGAGAGAUUAAUGCACCGUAACUUAAUGAAGUGGCAUCACUUUAUUAAUAUAGAUCCGUCGGUUCUGGAUGGGCGUGCGGCUGAUUAGGUAGUUGGCGGGGUAACGGCCCACCAAGCCUACGAUCAGUAACUGGUGUGAGAGCACGACCAGUCACACGGGCACUGAGACACGGGCCCGACUCCUACGGGAGGCAGCAGUAAGGAAUAUUGGUCAAUGGACGCAAGUCUGAACCAGCCAUGCCGCGUGGAGGAUGAAGGUCCUCUGGAUUGUAAACUUCUUUUAUCGGAGAAGAAACCCCGACAUUCUUGUUGGGUUGACGGUACCCGAUGAAUAAGCACCGGCUAACUCCGUGCCAGCAGCCGCGGUAAUACGGAGGGUGCAAGCGUUAUCCGGAUUCACUGGGUUUAAAGGGUGCGUAGGCGGGUUGGUAAGUCAGUGGUGAAAUCUUCAAGCUUAACUUGGAAACUGCCGUUGAUACUAUCAAUCUUGAAUAUUGUGGAGGUAAGCGGAAUAUGUCAUGUAGCGGUGAAAUGCUUAGAUAUGACAUAGAACACCGAUAGCGAAGGCAGCUUGCUACACAGUAAUUGACGCUGAGGCACGAAAGCGUGGGGAUCAAACAGGAUUAGAUACCCUGGUAGUCCACGCCCUAAACGAUGGAUACUCGACAUACGCGAUACACAGUGUGUGUCUGAGCGAAAGCAUUAAGUA